rnacentral:rRNA from 1 species
GACGAACGCUGGCGGCGUGCUUAACACAUGCAAGUCGAACGGAAAGGCCCUGCUUUUGUGGGGUGCUCGAGUGGCGAACGGGUGAGUAACACGUGAGUAACCUGCCCUUGACUUUGGGAUAACUUCAGGAAACUGGGGCUAAUACCGGAUAGGAGCUCCUGCUGCAUGGUGGGGGUUGGAAAGUUUCGGCGGUUGGGGAUGGAUUCGCGGCUUAUCAGCUUGUUGGUGGGGUAGUGGCUUACCAAGGCUUUGACGGGUAGCCGGCCUGAGAGGGUGACCGGCCACAUUGGGACUGAGAGACGGCCCAGACGCGUACGGGAGGCAGCAGUGGGGAAUAUUGCACAAUGGGAGGAAGCCUGUUACAGAAACGCUGCGUGCGGGAUGACGGCCUUCGGGCUGUAAAACGCUUUAGCCUGUGACGAAGCGUGAGUGACGGUAAUGGGUAAAGAAGCACCGGCUAACUACGUG